AACGAACGCUGGCGGCAUGCCUAACACAUGCAAGUCGAACGAGACCUUCGGGUCUAGUGGCGCACGGGUGCGUAACGCGUGGGAACCUGCCCUUAGGUUCGGAAUAACUCCCCGAAAGGGGUGCUAAUACCGGAUAAUGUCUUCGGACCAAAGAUUUAUCGCCUUUGGAUGGGCCCGUGUUGGAUUAGCUAGUUGGUAGGGUAAAAGCCUACCAAGGCAACGAUCCAUAGCUGGUCUGAAAGGAUGAUCAGCCACACUGGGACUGAGACACGGCCCAGACUCCUACGGGAGGCAGCAGUGGGGAAUAUUGGACAAUGGGCGAAAGCCUGAUCCAGCAAUGCCGCGUGAGUGAUGAAGGCCUUAGGGUUGUAAAGCUCUUUUACCCGGGAUGAUAAUGACAGUACCGGGAGAAUAAGCACCGGCUAACUCCGUG
rnacentral:rRNA from 1 species